CUGCAGGAAUAAGUUUGUUGCUGACUUAGUGGGAAGUAGAUGCCUCAAUAUUUGGAUAGAUCUGAUCUUUGGAUUUGGAAGCUUGAUGCCCAUAGUGGGACAAUCGCUUUAGCAAACCACAGUAGAAGGGACAUAGAGUCAUUAGCAAUGAAUGAGAGAGAUUUUAUUUGUGCAAGUUGAUAAAAUCAGGGCAAAAUCAGAGCUUUCUGUGUGAGUUUCUGUAAAUAAGCUGCCUGUAUAGUGGAGUGAAUUUGGCACAUCUGGCCGUAGGAUUUAUGUGGCUUUUGUAGCCCUCAGUCCGGAGAUAGCAGAGGGGGCUGAAGCUCUUAUUGCAGAUACCUCCAUCAAUUCUUGAAUUAUCUUGGCAGAGGUCUUUGCUGUGAUUCAUUGCAGACAACGAGGAAGGACUCUGGCAGGUGAUGUAUUGCUCUAAAGCCCAGCUAGGCUUGUCACAACCCUUUCACUGCUCCUGAAGUAGGAUAGAAAGCUGUGUGUGUAUCUGGAGUCUUCCAGCAAGCAUUGCCUUCACAUGUAGCUUUGUGCUGCCAUGCCUGUUCUGCCAAGGUUGUCAGGCAUGUGUUGGCCCACACAUUUCCUUGUGUUGCAACUGCAUCUGGAUAUCUGGGCAGACAGGUUAGGGGCUAGCUAUUACCUGCCUGGACCGAGCUUUUGGUUGGUGUAAAUCCAAGAAAGCCAACUUGUCUCCACUGCACAUACGGCCCCAUUG